rnacentral:rRNA from 1 species
GAAAAGGCGUGGCAGGGGUGGAGGGUAGUGCGUGGGGGUGGAGCGUUAAUCGGAGGUAGUGGGGGGAGAGCGUGCGGAGGCGGUGUGUGGAGACGGGGGGGAAAGCCCCGGGCUUAACCUGGGAACAGCCGUUGGAAGUGGCGAAGUGGAGUGUGGGAGAGGGGGGUAGAAUUCCGCGUGUAGCAGUGAAAUGCGUAGAGAUGCGGAGGAAUACCGAUGGCGAAGGCAGCCCCCUGGACUAAGACUGACGCUCAGGCACGAAAGCGUGGGGAGCAAACAGGAUUAGAUACCCUGGUAGUC